rnacentral:tRNA from 1 species
AGCAUGCUGGCGCAGAGGAAGCGUGUUGGGCUCAUAACCCAAAGGUCGGAGGAUCGAAACCUCCGCAUGCUA